UGGUUAAUGGUGGUGGUGGAUGAGGAGACUGUUAAAAUCCAAGUGAAAGAGAAGACAAAGAGACAGAGAGAAGGCGGGAAAUCUGAGUGUUUCAUAUCAGUAAGACACAAAACUCUGCAAAUUUUAUAGGGGUUUGGUUCUAUGGUGGAUUCAGUCUCUUCAGGUCAAGGAUUUUGAACUUAGGUACACUUGAGGUCGACUUGGUUUUUCAACUGCACAGGUAACAGCAAAGGCAUCUGAUCAAACUGUCAGGGACCUGUCCUUGAUGUCACGGCCCAUGAGAAAUGAGAACCAUGGACUAUGCCCACCAGAUUUUGGCAGUUUCCAAGAUCUUCAAUGCUCUCGAGUUUACAAUUAUGCUGCUUCUGUUGAUAGGGUAUAAAUGAUAGUAGUUUUCAAGCUCUCAUGAAAUAAUUGGUUAGUAAACACUCUUAUAAAUU